GUGUUGGUUCCCCCGUGCUGCCCGCGGCA
rnacentral:sRNA from 1 species